rnacentral:tRNA from 1 species
GGGGGCGUAGCUCAGUUGGGAGAGCACCUGCCUUGCAAGCAGGGGGUCAGCGGUUCGAACCCGCUCGUCUCCA